UGAACUCGUAUUUUACAUUCACUUUUAUUCUCUUGGACUCUGUUUCUCAAUGUUGGACCUAAGAUAUUGAAGACAGGCUGGAGCCCAGAGCCUUCAUUCAAUCUCAGAUUUAUGAAAAUAAUUACUGGAUUGGAUUAUCAUAUGAUGAAAGGGAAAGUAAGUGGAAAUGGAUUGAUAAUGGCACAUCUCCUGGAAUUAAUUCUACAAUAAUGCGUUUUUCU
rnacentral:lncRNA from 1 species